GGUUAAGUGACUAAGCGUAUACGGUGGAUGCCUAGGCAAUUAGAGGCGAUGAAGGACGUGUUAAUCUGCGAUAAGCGUUGGUAAGGUGAUAAAAACCGUAAUAGCCAACGAUUUCCGAAUGGGGAAACCCACCUACCAUCAGGUAGGUAUCGUACAGUGAAUACAUAGCUGUGCGAGGCGAACCCGGGGAACUGAAACAUCUAAGUACCCGGAGGAAAAGAAAUCAACCGAGAUCCCCUUAGUAGCGGCGAGCGAACGGGGGCCAGCCCUUAAGCAAAUAGUAAGUUAGUUGAACGCUCUGGAAAGUGCGACGAUACAAGGUGAUAGUCCUGUAAACGACAACGAACCUUUUGUGAAAACGAGUAGGACGGGACACGUGAUAUCCUGUUUGAAGAUGGGGGGACCAUCCUCCAAGGCUAAAUACUCCUAAUUGACCGAUAGUGAACCAGUACCGUGAGGGAAAGGCGAAAAGAACCCCUGUGAGGGGAGUGAAAUAGAACCUGAAACCGUAUACGUACAAGCAGUGGGAGCAGACUUGUUCUGUGACUGCGUACCUUUUGUAUAAUGGGUCAGCGACUUACAUUUUGUAGCAAGGUUAACCGUAUAGGGGAGCCGUAGGGAAACCGAGUCUUAACUGGGCGACAAGUUGCAGGGUGUAGACCCGAAACCGGGUGAUCUAGCCAUGGGCAGGUUGAAGGUUGAGUAACAUCAACUGGAGGACCGAACACACGUAUGUUGAAAAAUGCGGUGAUGACUUGUGGCUAGGGGUGAAAGGCCAAUCAAACCCGGAGAUAGCUGGUUCUCCCCGAAAUCUAUUUAGGUAGAGCCUCGUGUAUCACCAUUGGGGGUAGAGCACUGUUUGGGCUAGGGGGUCAUCCCGACUUACCAACCCCAUGCAAACUCCGAAUACCAAUGAGUGCAAUCACGGGAGACACACUGCGGGUGCUAACGUCCGUAGUGAAGAGGGAAACAACCCAGACCGCCAGCUAAGGUCCCAAAGUGUAUGUUAAGUGGGAAACGAUGUGGGAAGGCUUAGACAGCUAGGAGGUUGGCUUAGAAGCAGCCAUCUUUUAAAGAAAGCGUAAUAGCUCACUAGUCGAGUCGGCCUGCGCGGAAGAUUUAACGGGGCUAAACAUGCCACCGAAGCUGCGGAUGCUUGAUUUUAAUCAAGCGUGGUAGGGGAGCGUUCUGUAAGCCGUUGAAGGUGUACUGUCAGGUAUGCUGGAGGUAUCAGAAGUGCGAAUGCUGACAUGAGUAACGAUAAAGGGGGUGAAAAACCUCCUCGCCGAAAGACCAAGGGUUCCUGUCCAACGUUAAUCGGGGCAGGGUAAGUCGACCCCUAAGGCGAGGCCGAAAGGCGUAGUCGAUGGGAAACUGGUUAAUAUUCCAGUACUUCUUAUAAUUGCGAUGGGGGGACGGAGCAGGCUAAUCUAGCAUGGCGAUGGUUGUCCAUGUUUAAGUAUGUAGGCUGAUUUCUUAGGUAAAUCCGGGAAAUCACUAGGCUGAGAUACGAUGACGAGUCACUACGGUGAUGAAGUAGAUGAUGCCAUACUUCCAGGAAAAGCCUCUAAGCUUCAGAUUAUAAGGAAUCGUACUCCAAACCGACACAGGUGGUCGGGUAGAGAAUACCAAGGCGCUUGAGAGAACUCGGGUGAAGGAACUAGGCAAAAUAGUACCGUAACUUCGGGAGAAGGUACGCUGGCUGUGGUGAUGAGACUUGCUCUCUAAGCUACGGUCAGUCGCAGUGACCAGGUGGCUGCAACUGUUUAUUAAAAACACAGCACUGUGCAAAAUCGCAAGAUGACGUAUACGGUGUGACACCUGCCCGGUGCCGGAAGGUUAAUUGAUUGGGUUAGUCCUCGGACGAAGCUCAUGAUCGAAGCCCCGGUAAACGGCGGCCGUAACUAUAACGGUCCUAAGGUAGCGAAAUUCCUUGUCGGGUAAGUUCCGACCUGCACGAAUGGUGUAAUGAUGGCCACGCUGUCUCCACCCGAGACUCAGUGAAAUUGAAAUCGCUGUGAAGAUGCAGUGUACCCGCGGCUAGACGGAAAGACCCCGUGAACCUUUACUACAGCUUGGCACUGAACAUUGAACCUACAUGUGUAGGAUAGGUGGGAGCCUUUGAAACC
rnacentral:rRNA from 1 species